AUACGGAGGGUGCAAGCGUUGUUCGGAAUCACUGGGCGUAAAGGGCGCGCAGGCGGUUUGGUAAGUCAGAUGUGAAAGCCCACGGCUCAACCGUGGAAGUGCAUUUGAAACUGCCAGACUUGAGUACUAGAGGGGAAAGUGGAAUUCCCGGUGUAGAGGUGAAAUUCGUAGAUAUCGGGAGGAAUACCGGUGGCGAAGGCGACUUUCUGGCUAGAUACUGACGCUGAGGCGCGAAAGCGUGGGGAGCAAACAGGAUUAGAAACCCGAGUAGUCC
rnacentral:rRNA from 1 species